rnacentral:rRNA from 1 species
CAGUCGCCGCGGUAAUACGAAGGGUGCAAGCGUUAAUCGGAAUUACUGGGCGUAAAGCGUGCGUAGGCGGUUUGUUAAGUCUGUUGUGAAAUCCCCGGGCUCAACCUGGGAAUGGCAAUGGAUACUGGCAAGCUAGAGUGUGUCAGAGGAUGGUGGAAUUCCCGGUGUAGCGGUGAAAUGCGUAGAGAUCGGGAGGAACAUCAGUGGCGAAGGCGGCCAUCUGGGACAACACUGACGCUGAGGCACGAAAGCGUGGGGAGCAAACAGGAUUAGAUACCCGAGUAGUCCCUGUCUCUUAUAC